rnacentral:rRNA from 1 species
GAAAAGGAAGUUGGGCUUGGGGUGCGAGGUUUGGAAUAGGGGAAAGAGAUCUAGGUGGUGCGUGCGGCGGCGGCGGGAUCCACGGGAGAGGCCGGCUGCCGUCGCGAUGCGCAGGUCGCUCCGACGGUGGUGAAACAAGGGGAGAAAGAGCGUGGGGAGGCAGCAGUAGGGGUGUGCCGACGGUAAAAGGGUGCGGCUCCACCCGAACACGGCGGCGGCGGUAGUGUGUCCACGGUUGUCACCGCGAAAAACAAGUAUGCGUUCACGGGCGACUACGGUGGAGAGUGGAGAGAGAGUACCGAGGUGACGGCGUAGGGUCUGGUCGAUCUAGAUACACCCAGUUACAGGGAAGUGAGGGUAAGCAGUCCAGGUUCCGCGGGUUGGGGACGAAGGAGACGAAGGCCACUAAUCCUCGAACCACCACCCACGGGGGUAGAGAGGGGUUAAGUCCUCUUGUCCUCGAUCGGUAGGUACCUUCUUUGCUGUAGCCCUUUAUUUAGAAAUCAUUCAAACCCGUUUUUCCGGUGGCCUGCUACAGGUAUCAGUAUACGUAUACGUAGUGUAGCUGAACUACGAUGAUGAUAAAUGAGAGUUCUUGUAGUCAUUCAUACAUAGCUACUAUCGUUCGUUUACAACCUACGGGAGUGACAAAUGAAGACUAACCGUAUAUCCUGAUACACGAACAGGUCAUUUGUGUAGAGGUCAAAAGAUGAUUAAGAAACCAUGUUGUCAUAUGUACAUCGUAAAGCAUUUACAAAGGAACACUUUUAUAGUAUGAUAUUGUAAUACAAGAUAAAUCAAGGGUCUUCAUCAUGAACCAAAGUUGAAACUUUCUGGUCUACUUAAGAAGAUACCCCGCAGACUUGUUUUCCCCGUAAAAGCAGUAGGGCAGUGAUUCCAUCACCUCGUUCUACAGAAUAUAGAUCCAUUACCGUAGUUAGUUACAACCCUGUUCCUUAGAGUAGUAACGUUAUAUAUCGAUGGUGUAACCUGGUCCUUCGUUUGUUUUCCUGACGUGAGUUGCCUUGGUACUUCGGUUGCUAGAUGCGGUUGAUCUACAAAAUCUAAAGUAGAACAUGUACAGAGUAUUAACGUAGAAAAUGGGAAAGGACCAAUACAAAUCUUAUCUAACUUCACAUACAUACACUGUUUAUUAAUUACCUUAUUUUUUUACAAACCACGU